rnacentral:tRNA from 1 species
GGGCGGGUCUAAUAAAAUUGGGAGUACUCUGCAAAGGUACUGGUGAGAUGUGAUUCUCCCCGCCUU